AACGAACGCUGGCGGCGUGCCUAACACAUGCAAGUCGAACGAGAAUCCGGGCUUCGGCCCGGUAGUAAAGUGGCGCACGGGUGAGUAACACGUGGGUAACGUACACCGUAGUGGGGGAUAACCAGGUGAAAGCUUGGCUAAUACCGCAUGAGUCGGUCGGUUCGCGAGGACUGACCGGGAAAGUGGAGCAAUCCACGCUACGGGAUCGGCCCGCGGCCCAUUAGCUAGUUGGCGGGGUAAAGGCCCACCAAGGCGACGAUGGGUAGCUGGUCUGAGAGGAUGAUCAGCCACACUGGAACUGAGACACGGUCCAGACUCCUACGGGAGGCAGCAGUGGGGGAAAUUUUUUGGCGCAAUGGGCGAAAAGCCUGACGCAGCAACGCCGCGUGUGU
rnacentral:rRNA from 1 species